rnacentral:lncRNA from 1 species
AUGUCAUUCUUGUCUCUGUUGGUAAAACAUCAGGAGGGUAGAUUGACAGUGGGAAAUGCCCCAAAUAGACAUAGUUUCUGCCUCAGCACAUUCAAUUUGUUCCUACUUCUUUUCUUCCUCCCUUUCCUGCAGUAUCCACCGGAGCACCACAGGAUGACUCCCCACAGAGGGCAGCAGGCUAACUGGGCAGCUGGUCUCAAAAACUACGGGAUUAUUGUUAAAAAACAAACACGUUUUGGAAGACUACUGACCAGUAGCCAGAAGGAAGGUCCUGAGUCAUCGAAGUGUUCUCCAGCUGGCAAAGGAGUAUGAAAACCCCCUGGCCAGAUCUGUCCUUGCUGGAGCAUCGAGAAUAGAGUACGAUUACGAUACCAAAAUCUACAAAAUGUGAAAGAGUAAAGGAAAACUAUCAGGUGAGAACCAAUUAUUUUUAUUCCAGAGAUAUAGGUAAGAAAUAUGAAUAGAUAUGUAUAUAUACAGAAGGGUACAUAAGAAACUAGAAACUGUGGUUGCCUUUGAGAAAAAGAAUUGAGGGCCUAACAGUCAGAGAUACUUUGCAUAGUUUACAAGGUUAUAAUAUUGUAAUUUCUUUCCUUGUACAUAUAUAGCUUUUUUAGAAGAAUGAGAAGUGCUUUACAAAUGCAAAGAUUUUCACUGUUAAGUCUUUAUUUCCAUAAAAUUAAAAGUAAGUGCCUGGUCAAUAGACUCUAGGCUGUAGCCAUGAUAUCCCUUGAUUUCGUUUACCUGAUAACACUAGCCCAUGUUUGUGAAUUCUUAAAAACUCCCCAAAUGAUUUUACAUACAUUACCUAAUUUGUAAGAUCACCUUAGUAUUUGUUACUAUUUUUUUAAUGUUUGUUUGUUUAUUUAUUUAUUUAUUUAUUUAUUUAUUUAGAGAGAGGGGAGAAGGCAUGGGAAUGGGAGAGGCGCAGAAAGAGAGGGAGAGAGAGAAUCCCAAGCAGGCUCCACACUGCGGAGCUCAGUCCCACAAACCUUGAGAUCCUGACCUAAGCCAAAGUCAAGAGCCCAGUGCUUAAUCAACCGAGCUGCCUAGCCUCCCCUAUUUGUUACUAUUUAUUAUUACUCAGCUCUUCUAGUUUUCUUCCCUUAAUAUGUGAUUAUAAUAUUGAAUUGCAGUGUUUUUGUUCCCCUGCACCGCACAAAAAAAAAUAUGGUACUAUUUUCAGAAGUUUCUAAGGAAGGUCUAUUUGAUACUUUGAUACUUUCUUAAGUAUUGGACCCAGGUGUAACAGAAUUAUAAAGCUCACGCUUCCAGAACAGAGACAUAACACUCAGGUGUUUAUCUUGAGAGCCAUAUGGUUGUUCAUCACAAUUCAGUUUGAUGUUACUUUUAUCUUAUCCCACUGAGCCCAAGACAGAGUGUUCAACAGCUCUGGGUAAAUAAAAAUAUUAGUCAAAAUUAAAUGGAGGGUGUG